GUCGUAACCGGGCUGAAGUCGUACCGUAAGGAGCGGUGGACUGGUUACGAGUGAGAAUGUUGGCAUCAGUAGCGAGAUGUGGGUGAGAAUCCCACAGGCCGAAAACCUAAGGUUUCCUCAGGAAGGUUCGUCCGCUGAGGGUUAGUCGGGACCUAAGCCGAGGCCGAAAGGCGUAGGUGAUGGACAACUGGUUGAUAUUCCAGUACCACUACCAUCGUUAUUAUCGAUGGCGUGACGCAGGAGGAUAGUGUGUGCUAGCUAUUGGAUGCUAGUCUAAGCGUUUAGGCAGUGAGAGUAGGCAAAUCCGCUCUCAUAAUGCUGAGGCGUGAUGGGGAAGGUUCUACGGAACCGAAGUACAUGAUUCCACGCUGCCAAGAAAAGCGUCUAGAGAGAGAAGUAGUGCCCGUACCGCAAACCGACACAGGUAGGUGAGGAGAGAAUCCUAAGGCCGGCGGAAGAAUUACAGUUAAGGAACUCGGCAAAUUGACCCCGUAAGUUCGCGAGAAGGGGUGCCUACGAGAGUAGGCCGCAGAGAAUAGGCCCAAGCAACUGUUUAGCAAAAACACAGGUCUCUGCUAAAGCGUAAGCUGAUGUAUAGGGGCUGACGCCUGCCCGGUGCUGGAAGGUUAAGGGGAACACUUAGCGCAAGCGAAGGUGUGAACUUAAGCCCCAGUAAACGGCGGCCGUAACUAUAACGGUCCUAAGGUAGCGAAAUUCCUUGUCAGGUAAGUUCUGACCCGCACGAAUGGCGUAAUGACUUGGGCACUGUCUCAACUGUAAAUCCGGCGAAGUUGUAGUGCGAGUGAAGAUGCUCGCUACCCGCGAUUGGACGGAAAGACCCCGUAGAGCUUUACUGUAGCUUAGCAUUGAGUUUUGGUAUUGUCUGUACAGGAUAGGUGGGAGACUAGGAAACCAGGGCGUCAGCCUUGGUGGAGUCAACCUUGGGAUACCACCCUGACAGUACUGAAAUUCUAACUGGCGGCCAUGAAUCUGGUCACAGGACAUUGUUAGGUGGGCAGUUUGACUGGGGCGGUCGCCUCCUAAAAAGUAACGGAGGCGCCCAAAGGUUCCCUCAGAACGGUCGGAAAUCGUUCGAAGAGUGCAAAGGCAGAAGGGAGCCUGACUGCGACACCCACAAGUGGAGCAGGGACGAAAGUCGGGCUUAGUGAUCCGGUGGUACCUCGUGGGAGGGCCAUCGCUCAACGGAUAAAAGCUACCUCGGGGAUAACAGGCUGAUCUCCCCCAAGAGUCCACAUCGACGGGGAGGUUUGGCACCUCGAUGUCGGCUCGUCGCAUCCUGGGGCUGAAGUAGGUCCCAAGGGUUGGGCUGUUCGCCCAUUAAAGCGGCACGCGAGCUGGGUUCAGAACGUCGUGAGACAGUUCGGUCCCUAUCCGUCGCGGGCGUAGGAAAUUUGAGAGGAGCUGUCCUUAGUACGAGAGGACCGGGAUGGACUGACCUCUGGUGUACCAGUUGUUCCGCCAGGAGCACAGCUGGGUAGCUAAGUCGGGAAUGGAUAAACGCUGAAAGCAUCUAAGCGUGAAGCCAACCUCAAGAUGAGAUUUCCCAUAGCGUAAGCUAGUAAGAUCCCUUGAAGAACACAAGGU
rnacentral:rRNA from 1 species